CGAUGCGUGAGGGAACGAACAAGAGAACAAAGGAGCGCCACGUUUGGAUGAUUACAGAUGAGACUUUAUGUACUGCAGAUAAUGAAUCAAGCAAGUAUAUCUUGAUGUAACAACACAAGGAAGGGGGCUUCAGCUUUGCUGUGUCAGUCGUGGUAAAUACAGGAACAUCCUUCAUGAAGAUGUGCGAGAGAAGCUUGCAAGAUCAGAAAAACUACUGAAGAUACCUCUCUUCAUUUUCAUGGAUUCUGGGAUAUUUAUCUAUUUUUUGGUAAUUGAUAAAGUUAUGUUUUAUUCCCUAUAAAGUAGGAAUAAUAAAUGUUUGUAUAAACGUAAUCUAUUUUUAGAGCGCAGUGUCAGUGAAGAUGGUGUGGUCAGGGAUUCUGCUGUUUGUGGGAGAUCUGAAGGAACAUCUCCCAGCUUUCUACGACGAUGAGCGCUGAUGACUGAGUAUUUUUUUUCAGUGAGGAAACAGGCUUAUAGAUCAUACAGAAUGAUGUUUUCUGUGAUGGCGAGAUCAGGUACUUUUCUGUUGGAGCAUAAAACGGGAGAGAAAUCCAACAGAUGCACAAUUUGAAGGGGGAACCGUACCAUAUCGACACACUAUUCUUCCUGUUUAAUACUGUAAAGCUAUAAAGAAUUGACUAUAGAAACCAAUGGCAACAAACCGCUGAAGUUAUGAACGCCUCUUAGUUUAAAGGGUUUGUUUCAACUGGCUGUACAAUAUCAC
rnacentral:lncRNA from 1 species